GAGUUGAGCGAGGGAAACAGGUAUCUUCAAUUACAGCUAUGGCGUCUACCAAAUCCUCUCCUCUAAGCUUUCCCCUGUUUUUAACAUUGAUAAUUCUAUUUCCUGCAAAUUAAGGCAAGGAGAUGCAGUUUUGGUAGAAAAUUUGGACGAAUCUAAGUUCCUGGCUGCUUAUAGCGCCGAUAUAGACUACAAAGCUGUAGCAACGACUGCUGAGUUCAAAUUGUCCUUGAAUUUUUACCUAAAAGAGCUUGUGGUAUCUCCAGUUCGAUCCUUGAAAGAUAUCAUUGCAUUCAACAAUAAAUUUUCAGAUUUGGAAAAAACACAAGGAAUAUAGGCAACAGCUUUUCCUUGACGCUGAAGCUACGAAUAGCAUCGGCAAGAAAGAGAAGGACGCAAUAUUACAUUUAGAAAAAAUGUGAAGAGAUGGAAUCGAGAAGUUGAUGAGGGAGAACAACUAGACGCGUUGUUGUCACCUUUUCCAUCAGCUUCGCCUGGUCUGGCAAUAGGUGGAUCCAGGAAUCAUUGUCUUGUCCCCGCAGGAUAUGAUACAAUGGGGUGCCUUUUGGCAUUUGCUUUGCAGGACUAAAGGGCUCAGAGCCAACGCUGAUUGAGAUUGCAUAUGCCUUCGAGCAAGCCACUAAGAUUAGGAGGCCCCCUUCGUUCAAGCACUGAAGCCAUCACUGAUAGAUUCAGGCCGUAGGGCCAUCCAUACGAUUUUUGGUUUAUUAGAUGUUUCAUCCUCGUAGCUUUCAGAAUUGACCAUGUUUAAUGGUUGAUGUACUCUAAGUUUAUGUAGUGUUAUAUAAAUAAUCAGGUACUUUCUUUUUUU